rnacentral:rRNA from 1 species
CCCUUAGAUGUUCUGGGCCGCACGCGUGCUACACUGAGUAAUUCAAUGGGUAAGGGAACGCUAGAGCAUUACCUAAUCUUGAAAUUUGCUCGUGAUGGGGAUCGACGGUUGCAAUUUUCCGUCGUGAACGAGGAAUACCUUGUAGGCGCAUGUCAUCAUCAUGCGCCGAAUACGUCCCUGCCCUUUGUACACACCGCCCGUCGCUCCUACCGAUUGAAUGCUCAGGUGAGCCAUUCGGACUUUCAUCAUGCUGGUUUCCAGUUUUGAUGAAGGAAAGUCUUGCGAACCUUAUCAUUUAGAGGAAGGAGAAGUCGUAACA